rnacentral:rRNA from 1 species
CACGGGGGGAACGCGAAGAACCUUACCAAGGCUUGACAUAUACGAGAACGCUGCAGAAAUGUAGAACUCUUUGGACACUCGUAUACAGGUGGUGCAUGGUUGUCGUCAGCUCGUGUCGUGAGAUGUUGGGUUAAGUCCCGCAACGAGCGCAACCCUCGUCGUAUGUUGCCAGCACGUAAUGGUGGGAACUCAUAUGAGACUGCCGGGGUCAACUCGGAGGAAGGUGGGGAUGAGGUCAAAUCAUCAUGCCCCUUAUGCCUUGGGCUUCACGCAUGCUACAAUGGCCGGUACAAAGGGCUGCAAUACCGCAAGGUGGAGCGAAUCCCAAAAAGCCGGUCUCAGUUCGGAUUGAGGUCUGCAACCCGACCCCAUGAAGUCGGAGUCGCUAGUAAUCGUGAAUCAGCAACGUCACGGUGAAUACGUUCCCGGGUCUUGUACACACGC